rnacentral:rRNA from 1 species
UACAGAGGGUGCGAGCGUUAAUCGGAAUUACUGGGCGUAAAGCGCGCGUAGGCGGCUUUGCAAGUCGGGUGUGAAAUCCCCAGGCUUAACCUGGGAACUGCAUUCGAGACUGCAUUGCUAGAGUAUGGGAGAGGGAAGUGGAAUUUCCGGUGUAGCGGUGAAAUGCGUAGAUAUCGGAAGGAACAUCAGUGGCGAAAGCGGCGCACUGGACCACAACUGACGCUGAGGCGCGAAAGCUAGGGGAGCAAACAGG